rnacentral:rRNA from 1 species
AGGACGAACGCUGGCGGCGUGCUUAACACAUGCAAGUCGAGCGAGGCCCUUCCUUCGGGAAGGUGUCCUAGCGGCGAACGGGUGAGUAACACGUGGGCAACCUGCCCUCAGCUCUGGGAUAACUCCGGGAAACCGGGGCUAAUACCGGAUACGACCUCUAAGGGCAUCCGAAGAGGUGGAAAGUUUUUCGGCUGAGGAUGGGCCCGCGGCCUAUCAGCUUGUUGGUGGGGUGACGGCCUACCAAGGCGACGACGGGUAGCCGGCCUGAGAGGGUGACCGGCCACACUGGGACUGAGACACGGCCCAGACUCCUACGGGAGGCAGCAGUGGGAAUAUUGCGCAAUGGGCGAAAGCCUGACGCAGCGACGCCGCGUGAGGGACGAAGGCCUUCGGGUUGUAAACCUCUUUUGUCAGGGAAGAUAAUGACGGUACCUGACGAAUAAGUCACGGCUAACUACGUGCCAGCAGCCGC